CCCUUAGAUGUUCUGGGCCGCACGCGUGCUACACUGAGUGGAUCAGCGGGUCAGGUUGCGCGAAAGCGUUUCCUAAUCUUUAAAUCCGCUCGUGAUGGGGAUUGACGGUUGCAAUUUUCUGUCAUGAACGAGGAAUACCUUGUAAGCGCGGGUCAUCAUCCCGCGCUGAAUACGUCCCUGCCCUUUGUACACACCGCCCGUCGCUCCUACCGAUUGAGUGGUCCGGUGAGGCUUUGGGAUCUGAGCGGAAAGAGCGUUUCGCUGUUUCUGCUCGGAAAACUCAGUCGAACCUUAUCAUUUAGAGGAAGGAGAAGCCGUAACA
rnacentral:rRNA from 1 species